rnacentral:misc_RNA from 1 species
UCUUGCGACAACGCUGUCGUGCAUGAGCACAACAGAAAAGUGCUGCGCCCCCCCCUCCCCCGAGCGUUGCCCCUGCUUGGACUUGAUCGUUCUGGUCUUAAGUUUGCGUGCCGCUCCCCGCCCUUCCCCUUCUUCCUCCACCUCGCCGUGUAUAGGCCGGCGCCUGUGUGUGUGUGCCACCAUGCACGGAUCAAACCUCCCCUGACAGGCACGACAACCCACCCAUCGAGACACCUCCCCCCUCUCACACCCUCUUUUCACCUUUUUACUCUCUUCUUUGCUUCGUGGAUUUUUCGAGCAGUUUCGGGGAGGGGCUACGCUCGCUGCUGGUUGUGGCUGUCCUUCUCACCUCUUCUGUCUUACCACCACCACCGCCACUACCCCCCUCACUCGGAGGGAGCGCUUCGACGCUGCUUGACCCGCCGCCGCGCCCCUCCGCACAACCCUUGUAUGGCUGCUCGUCUUGUCUUGCGUCGUUGUCUGUCGCCUCUUCCCCGCCGAGCCCGUCUGCUCUCUCCUUUUCUGUCGAUACGCGGCCUCAUGACGAACCCGUCUAACUCCAACCUGCAGGCGUUGCGCGAGGAGCUCUGCACGCCUGGCCUGGAUCAGGGUCACCUCUUCGAGGGAUGGCCGGAGACCGUGGAUGAGUGCGACGAGAGGCAGAUCGCCCUCCUUACAGAUUUGUACAUGUUUUCAAACAUGUAUCCCGGCGGCGUCGCUCAGUACAUCCGCAACGGGCACGAGCUGCUGGCGCGUGAGAGCGAAGAGGUGGACUUUGCAGCGCUGGAGAUGCCCCCUCUCAUCUUCGAGGCCCCGUCGCUGCACCGGCGCACGGCGGAGAGGACCGCGCUGGAGAGCGCCGGAACCGCGAUGCUGUGCAAGACGGUGUUCGUGCUGGUUGCUGGUGGUCUGGGCGAACGUCUGGGCUACUCAAGCAUCAAGGUGGGCCUGCCGGUGGAGACGGCGACGAACACAACGUAUCUCGCCUACUACCUCCGGUGGGCACAGCGAGUGGGAGGGAAGGAGGUACCGUUUGUGAUAAUGACCUCUGACGACACGCACGACCGCACGCUGCAGCUCCUGCGCGAGCUGCAGUUGGAUGUGCCCAACUUGCAUGUGCUCAAGCAGGGGCAGGUCUUCUGCUUCGCCGACAGCGCCGCGCACCUCGCCCUGGACGAUACAGGGAAGCUGCUGCGCAAGCCGCACGGCCACGGCGACGUGCACUCCCUCAUCUACAACGCGACUGUGAAGAGAGACGUGGUGCCGAACUCCGGCGACGGUACCGCGACGGCGCAGCCACUCGUGAACGACUGGCUGGCGGCCGGCUACGAGUCCAUUGUCUUUAUCCAGGACACCAACGCCGGCGCGACGGUCACAAUCCCCAUCAGCCUCGCCUUGAGCGCCGAGCACUCGCUCGACAUGAACUUCACCUGCAUCCCUCGUGUGCCGAAGGAGCCGAUCGGGCUGCUAUGCCGAGCCAAGAAGAAUAGCGGCGACCCGUGGCUGGUCGCGAGCGUGGAGUACAACGUCUUUGCCGAGGUUUCGCGCACGCUUAACAAGGAUGGCGGCGAAGAAGCCAGUGACCCCACUGGCUUCUCCCCGUUCCCUGGUAGCGUCAACACCCUCGUGCUCAAGCUCUCCAGCUACGUGGACCGGCUGCGGGAGUCGAACGGUAUCGUUCCGGAGUUCAUCAACCCCAAGUACUCGGAUGAGACGCGUCGCUCCUUCAAGAAGCCCGCACGCAUCGAGUCCCUGAUGCAGGACAUCGCGCUGCUCUUCUCCGAGGAUGACUACCGCGUCGGCGGUACCGUCUUCGAGCGAUUCUCGUACCAGCCAGUGAAGAACUCGCUAAAGGGGGCGGCAGCGCUUGUGGCGCAGGGCAACGGCGCCUACUGCGCCGCCACGGGCGAGGCUGACUUCUACGAGCUGCAGCGGCGCCGUCUCAAGGCUAUCGGGCUGCCGCUCUUCUACAGCUCGCAGGCGGAGGUGACGGUGGCGAACGACACUAUUGGCGUGCAUAUCUUCCCGAUAAUCGUGCUGGAUGCCAUGUGCGCGUCAAGCGGAUCCCUCGACGACCUUGCGAGCGUCUUUCCGACGCCGGAAAAGGUGCACAUCGAUCAGCACAGCACCUUGAUUGUUGAGGGCCGUGUCAUCAUUGAGAGCCUGGAGCUAUACGGUGCACUCACGAUUCGCGGCCCGACAGGCCCGAUGGCGCUGCCGCACGUAAUACGCAACGCUGUGGUGCGCAAUGCCGGUUGGUCGGUGCACGCGAUCUUGUCUCUCGGCGCUGGGUGCGAUAGCAGGCUGUCCGAGGUGGACCGCAUCCGCGGGUUUGUGCUGGAGAAGACGACCAUGACGGUGAUGGACUGCCGUACGAAGGGCGAGUCCGAGGCCGGUGCACCGUCUGGUGCGGCUGACCCGGCAAAGUUGUAGUAGUCGCUGCCGAGAGGGUGCCUGCUGGCGUGGGUGCUCCCGUGUAGUUGAACGAGCGCUGGCUCUGCCGGCGCACCGGGCCGUCUUUCCAGCGACGGCGCGUGUGGGUGCCCCAGCGCGGGUGCACACACCGGUGGGAGAGUGCCGUGUGCCAGCCCACACACAGCGCGGCACUGCUGGCCGUCUUACCUCCCUGCCAUGAAUUCCUAUUUGCCUUUCGCAUUUCUGCAAGCCGCAGCAGAAGGUGCAGGACGGUGGUGGGCCUCCCCCCCCCCUCACCACCACCAUGACGGGUGCCGGCCACACGGACACUUGCGCAGAGCACCGGUGCCACACCUUAGAAGCAAC